ACUCAAAUGAAUUGACGGGGGCCCGCACAAGCGGUGGAACAUGCGGUUUAAUUCGACGCAACGCGAAGAACCUUACCUACUCUUGACAUCCAUGGGAGCUAGCAGAGAUGUUGGUGUGCCUUCGGGAACCAUGAGACAGGUGCUGCAUGGCUGUCGUCAGCUCGUGUCGUGAGAUGUUGGGUUAAGUCCCGUAACGAGCGCAACCCUUAUCUUUAGUUGCCAGCGGGUAAUGCCGGGAACUCUAGAGAGACUGCCGGUGACAAGCCGGAGGAAGGCGGGGACGACGUCAAGUCAUCAUGGCCCUUACGAGUAGGGCUACACGCGUGUUACAAUGGACGGUACAAAGGGCAGCGAACCCGCGAGGGGGAGCGAAUCUUAUCAAAGCCGUUCGUAGUCCGGAUUGGAGUCUGCAACUCGACUCCAUGAAGUUGGAAUCGCUAGUAAUCGUGGAUCAGAACGCCACGGUGAAUACGUUCUCGGGCCUUGUACACACCGCCCGU
rnacentral:rRNA from 1 species